rnacentral:rRNA from 1 species
GACGGGGGGGGCAAGUGUUCUUCGGAAUGACUGGGCGUAAAGGGCACGUAGGCGGUGAAUCGGGUUGAAAGUGAAAGUCGCCAAAAGUGGCGGAAUGCUCUCGAAACCAAUUCACUUGAGUGAGACAGAGGAGAGUGGAAUUUCGUGUGUAGGGGUGAAAGUCGUAGAUCUACGAAGGAACGCCAAAAGCGAAGGCAGCUCUCUGGGUCCCUACCGACGCUGGGUGCGAAAGCAUGGGAGCGAACAGG